rnacentral:sRNA from 1 species
UCCAGCAGUUCAUUCCCACCUUUCCACCAGUCAGUUCUGCAUUUGCAAAUGUCCACAUGUAUUUCUGGAAAGAUCCACAUGGUCCUCACCUGCCCUCUGCAGAAGGAGAGGAAACUUAAAGAACCCAGGACAGGGAACAUGGUUCUGCUCCAAAGCCACCAGCUCUUGCCUGUCCCCUUCACUCUUUCUAGAUCAUUCCUUGCACUCUGCUCUAUCUUUAGAGGUCACUGGUUCAAGUAAGUCAUCAUGAAACACUGCAAAAACUUGCCCCACCUUGUGCCUCCACUGGCCUGAUGACUGAACUGACUCCAGGCUUGACUCUGGUCUCCCUGUGUUAUUUCUGCUGAAACAUCCAGUCCCAGGCCAGGCUGCUCAGUAUCUUCAGGGUUUCAGGACCAAUGGGAAGUCCCAUUAUUACUCAUCUCUAGAAUGUCCUUGAAAUGGAAGCUGCAGAGAAAUCACAUCUAGGGGGGCAAAGUAGGAUGGAAUUUGGAAGGGGCCCAGCAGUUGCACAUUCCAGGUAAGGAACCCAAGGUGAGCCAGCCAGUCAACUGAUUAGGGAGGGACUGGGAGGGGUACCAGGGGCUGUGACUCCCACUGACGUGUCUGUCCAUGACCCAACACUGCUGCUCAAUGACCACUUCAGAAAGUCUGUGCUUCCUAAGAAGAAGCAGGCGGCCUCACAGUCUUUGAGCCCUUAGAUCAUCAUGCAUCUGUCUUGUGACACACGCACCAGCUAUUGGCUUUCAAGGACUCGGUGGGUGAGAGGUGGGAGAUGCCAACUCUGAUUGAAGAUGCCUGGUGGAGGAAUCAAAGGUGCCACACAGGACAAUCUUCUCUCUGUUAUCCACACAGCGAAGCUGCCCAUGCCCUACAUCACCAUCAACAACUUAAACCCAGGGAGAAUAAGGAUGUCUUAGCCUUCACCUGUGAACCUAGAGUGAGAACUAACCUACAUUUGGUGGCUAAAUGGUCAGAGCCUCCCGGUCAGUCCCGGGUAAAGCGACCCAUUGAAAACAGGAUCCUCAUUCUACCCAGUGUCACGAGAAAUGAAACAGGACCCUAUCAAUGUGAAUACGGGACCGAUAUGGUGGCAUCCGCAGUACCCAGUCACCCUGAAUGUCCUCUGUGUAUCUUUUGUUCCUCUGUGGGCCAGGCCACCAGCUUAAUCCAAACGACCAGGGCCAGGCCUCUCAGUCUCUCUCCGGUCCAAGUAUAGACAACUUUACUUCUGGACAUCCGAGGUGGCCAUGACUCCCUGCCCUGGGAAAACCUGGGUAGGACACAGCCUUAACCAAGAAUAUAAGGGGAGGGGACGCUCUUGUCAUGGGAGACUUGGGGCCCAUCUUGUGUGGGAGAAACAGGUGAAUACUUCAGCUUCGGCUCAGUGAACAUAGAGGGGUUUGGCUGGACUUGAGGGUGUGUCUUGGCUCAGAGGGUCACUGUGUCCCUUUAAGAGACAGGACAUCCCUUCCCUCAGAUGACAUCACUGUGGCUUUAUUCUCUUUCCUCCAGAUGGUCCAGACCUCCCAGAAUUUCCCUUCAUCACCUUUACCGUUCAGGAGAAAACCUCGACUUGUCCUGCUUCGCGGACUCUAACCCACCCGGCACAGUAUUCUUGGACAAUUAAUGGGAAGUUUCAGCUAUCAGGACAAAAGCUCUUUAUCCCCCAAAUUACUACAAAGCAUAGAGGGCUCUAUGCUUGCUCUGUUCGUAACUCAGCCACUGGCGAGGAAAGCUCAACAUCCUGACAGUCAGAGUCUCUG